rnacentral:rRNA from 1 species
CCUACGGGAGGCAGCAGUGAGGAAUUUUGCGCAAUGGGGGCAACCCUGACGCAGCAACGCCGCGUGAGUGAAGAAGGCCUUUGGGUCGUAAAGCUCUGUCAACAGGGAAGAAGUUACAAUUGUUUAAUAGAUGGUUGUAUUGACGGUACCUGUGGAGGAAGCGCCGGCU